rnacentral:rRNA from 1 species
AUUGAACGCUGGCGGCAGGCCUAACACAUGCAAGUCGAACGAGAGGCGGGCGGGUGUGAAAUGUCUGGGAAAAUGCCCGAUGGAGGGGGGUAACUAUUGGAAAAGGUAGCUAAUAUCGCGUACACUCGGAUGUGCCCCGAUGGGUUUAGCUGGUAGGUGUGGUAAAGUCUCCCCUAGGCGACGAUCACUAGCUGGUGUGAGAGGAUGACCAGCCACACUGGGACUGAGACACGGUCCAGACUCCUACGGGGGGCACGAGUGGGGAAUAUUGGACAAUGGGGGAAAGCCUGAGGCAGCCAUCCCGCGGGUAUGAAGAAGGCCUUCGGGUUGUAAAGUACUUUCGGCGGUGAGGCGUUACCCGAAGAAGAAGCACCGGCUAACUCCGUGCCAGCAGCCGCGGUAAUAC